ensembl:lncRNA
AAGGGUCUACAAGGAAUACUGGUGCUGGUGAGCAUGGAGUCGGGGAGGGGAGAGUGUGAGGCUGGACUAGUUCCACCUUCGUCACUUUGUCAGUUCCUCUGUCCUGGCCUAUGUGCAGUGGAUGUUUGGGCCGCAGGUGGGAUUGAGCUAGUAAGGGUAUGGAUGGAUGGCAGAGGCAGACUCCCUGACAUACUUAUUCCCUUGCUUUAUCCCUCCUCAGGUAAACCAACUCCAUCAAAUACCAAAGGCAUAAAUAGAGCAUGUCUGCUGGUGCCAUAUGGCCUAGGACCUUCCUGCUGGCAACACACGUCCUUCACUCAUGGACAUUCUUAGCAUAUUUCAGAUAUAAAAGCACCUGUGUAAGAAGUUUAAAGUACUUACCACAAAAUUUGGGAAAUUAAGCUUAUGCAUAUAUUCAUCAAUUUGGGUACAGUUAAGUGUACAUUCCAAUGAUUCUAUUUUGUUGUUGAUCAUCACUGGGGAUCUGGCUUUGUUGUCCAGAUUCACUGAAAUAGGAUGACAUUUGUGGACAAGUGGUCACCCAAGCCCUUUGGCACAGGCUGGAAUUCUCUUGCUUCUCAUUUUCUGCUUCUUUGGAUAUUAUCCCAUUUUCUGUUUCUGGUGGUUUCUGUGUGGGAAUAACUCCUCCAUCAUUUGUUCCGUGUUUUUCCUAUUUGUUGGCAAAACACAAGUGUGUUUAUUUGGUGGCUUUAAUUAAAGCAUGGAGUCUUCUUGUCCUUCUAUAUAACCUCGUUUUACUUUAUGUAGAAAAAUGAGUUAAAAUAGAAGUACUAAUAAUGGCUAACUUUGAGCAGUGUGACAAGUUCUAUGUAAAAUAAUUUCUAUGCUUGGUCUUGUUUUCUCUACUGACCUAAGAGAUGGAUACUGUUUUACUUCUAUUUCUGGUUGAGAAAAACUGAGGCUUAAGGAGUUUAUAGAACAUAUUCAAGUUCUCACAGGUAUUAAGAGAUAGGACCAGAAUUCAAAUUCAGGUUACCUUGUGUCCAAAAGCUCACUAAGCAUGAGUUAUGACUAAAUCAGCACAUGUAUGGAUGGUUCAUAUCUGAACUGUAAACAACACAGAUAUUUGAGACAGAUAUGUCUCAAAGUUAUUAAAAAUUAUAGUAUAAAUUACUGUUAUUCUAAAGACUCAUCCCUACUUGCCCAAGAGUUAGUCUCAGGAUGCACAAAAACCUAAAGUUGUUUGCUAAAUUAACCAAAAGUUCUGCUUAAAAUUUUAGAGGCCCCACCCAUUGAAAACAAUAUGGGAUGCUUGGUUUAGCCAAGUUUUUUGAAUUGGCCCAUGAUGAUUCCUUCAGCACUUUUUAGGAAUUCAAGCAUUAAGUUAUUUAAACAAUUUUAUUUUUUUCCCAUUUCUGUGAUGCCCUUACUUGGUUGGCACACCCUAUACAAACUUAGUCUGCCUUUAGGUUAAUCCAGCAGUGAGGGAAGUAAUUUGUAUUUACAAACAAGAGCCCUGGCAGUUGAAAAUCACCGCCACUUCCCCAUAACGCUGAUAAUGCACUGAUACAACAUGUCUUUUCUAAUAUUUGUGGAAAUUUCAAAACCAUGCAUCAGGCACAAAGGAAGCAUUGUUACAUGGCCAAGUGUGGCACAGCAGCCAGGCUUCUUUGUAGACUGUUGAAGGAAAAGUCUUGGUAGAGUCUACAAAUCUAGCAUUCUAACAUGAAUACUAAAUUUUUAGUAACUCUUAAAAAUUCACGUGGUAGAUUGUUAGGAGGGGAUCCUUUGUCACACAUAUAAAUCAGAGUCUGUGCAGAGAUGUGUCAUUCAUUGAGCAGAACUCAAGAAGUGUCGUCCUGUUUUUGUCACUUAAUGUUCUAUCAGUAGGACCUGUUGGUCCAGUAUCUUGGCCAAAAGUGAUGGGAAGGAUUUUAAAGCUGGCUAGUGCAAAUAUUUAUUUAAAGAAGGAGGCUCUUAUUAAUAGUAACCCUGUACAUUGAAGUGUACACUAGAAUUUGUGGAGUAUUUCAUCAACUUGUCUUGCUUUUGUUUUAAGCACCCCUAUGUGUGGUAGUUGUGGUAUGGUUACCAGCAUCAGAAUUUUCCAAAUAAGUAACAGAAAAAGAGUAAGUGACUUGUCCAGCAUCACAUUUGCUAAUUCCUCUCUGUUUUGAAUAUCCUUCCCAUCCUUUUUGCCUAUGGGAUAAAGUCUAAACUUAUUAACCAGCCGUAUAAAGCCCCUCAUGAUCUGAUCCUUGCCUACUUUUUGAAUUCAGUCUCCUGUGUAAACUAAUGCAUGCUUAUCCGCCACGUGCAUUUUGCCUUCUCAUCAUGCCAAGUGCUUGUAGCUCUGUUCAUUGUGUUCAAAGUUUCCUAAAUUUAGGAUUUAAUGGGCUAGAAAAUUAGCAAAUAAAUUAAUAAAUGGACAUUAAUAAAUGGGUAAUUUUGUAUUGUGGCAAAUAAGGAAAUAAUAAAAUACCACCAUUUCAUUAAAGACUUUACAUGUUAACAUCAACAUCUAGAAAGGACAUAAUCUCAGGGAAAAAGAAGGGUUGCUAAUUAAAAUAAAAUAUGAAAGCCUUACUCAUUGCGUGCAUUUUCCUCAUUUUGUCAGAGAUGGUUGAAAAAAUUGUUCUGGACUGGCCCUGGCCUGUGGGAUUGGGAACUGGGUACUUUUGUACAUGCUGUUUUCUUGGUCAGGAAUUCUCUAUUUUUCUCAUGCUUCUAGCCUUUGGCCUGUCUGACUAAAUCCUCUUAGUCUUUCAAUUCUCAGUUUACAUGUUGAUCUUAGAAAAUCUUUUCCCAUCUCACUCCACCUGUUCCCUUCCAUGCUAUCCAGCCCUCCAGUUAUCUCCCCUUGGUGGGGUUCUAUGCAUUCACCCCCAUGCACUGAUCAACUGUGCCCACGUGGUUUAUUUGUUGCUCCCUCUUGCCAGAAGACCAUGAGAUUUUAGAAGAGAGAGACCCAUCUUGUUCACCCUCAUUCCUAAGGUUUAGCAGAUAGUCUUUUGCAUCCAUUCGGUGCAUAACAAGCAUUCAAUAGAUGAAUGAAUGAAUGGAUGAGUGAAUAAAUAUCUGGGCACCCUUCACUCCCUUGGCUUGUGGCUUGUAGAUCUUCUGUGACCUGCUAUUUCAAGCACAGAGGAUUUAUUCAAACAAACACAGCACUCAUUGAAUUGAAUUAAUUUAUGGAUUUUGACCUCAUUGGUUCUUCUAUUUUUCUUUGUCAAGGAAAACUAAUUAUGUUCUCCAUUAUCAGAGUGUCUGUGAACAGUCUGCAGCUGCUGUCUGAAAUACUUCCAUGGGCCAUAAGACUUCUCUCAGCUUUUCUGGUCAGUUUGUCUUUUAUUUAUUUUUUUUUUUGGGGGGGGGAGUCUGUUCACUUUUGGUUUACCAUAUUGAUGAUCAUACUUUAUUUUUAUGGCAAAAGGAAUGUUAAUAGAUCUACAGAGAAUAUUCAGCAUAUUUUGUAGUCCGAUCUUUCUAAAUCCACAGGGGCUUAUGAUGCUUUUCCAUUUUGUCAUUGUUCCUUUAAAAAAUAUAUACUUUUUUGGCCUUUAAAAUAUUUUGUCAAAACAAUAUAAUCAGAAAAUAUAGACACAACUUGUUGUAGGAUUCAGUUGUGAUGUGAGCCCUCUUAUUUGGGGACAUGUGGUCUCUAGGCAGUAGGAGGUCCUGGGUCAAUGACUGUGACUUUCCCUGACUCUUGCUCAGUCACAGGGGGACCAGAUUCUUGGCCCUUCUCACAGAGAUGCUUUCUAUAGAUAGUGAAUUGCUGCUGAGAGUCCUUCUCUAAAGUUGUGCAGAGAAGCCCAGGUUUCAGUCCGGGCUUACGUCUAUGCUUUGGAAGAAACAUAAGCCCCUUUUCUUGAAACUCUCUUCCUUGGCUUCCCAUCACCUUCUCUUUUGUUAUGAAAGUCGGGAUAGAAAGUAUCCCGACUUUCUUUAUAAAGUUAGAAUAAUAAUAACCACCACUAUUUAUGAGCACUUCCUGCAUACUAAGUACUUUAUUUACAGUCCUUUCAUUUGUUUUCAAAUAAGUUUGUCUCCAUUUUAUCAAUAGGGAAGCUGAAAAUCAGAGUGUUAAGUGGUUUGGCCAAAGCCACAUAGCAGUAAGUGGUAGAAAGCUAUGUGACUCUAGAGCCUCUGCUCUUUCCAUUACACUGUGCUGUCUUCUUCAUCAGGUGACCUGGAUCAUAGCUAUGUGGUUUUUGUGCAGGGGUCACCAAGAGAGACAGUGGAGGGUCCUUCCUGCUCAGUUGGGAAGGUGUAGCCUCCAAGAUGGGAUGGAUCAGGGCUCUGCAUCAGAGGGCACCCUUCACACUUCCAUCCCAGGGGCUAAAGUUAGCAGAGGUGGCAGACACAAGAGUUUUCACUGUGCUUAGCUCUUGCAAAGAGAAAUAAAGUACCUGAGCCAUGGGAUUGUGUCAAGAACUAAAUAGGGUAGUAUAUAAAUGAAAGGACCUUCAAGUAGUGUCUUAUGCAUAGUAUGAACUGAAUGGUUUUCCUAACUCCUUUUUUUCUCUUUGUGUCUUCCUUUCUCUGUUAACCCAACCCUGCCCCUCAAUUUUAGACAUCUCCUAAUGGUGCAUUCUAGGUCUCUUCUUUUUUGUAUCUCUCUAUAAGAUAAUAUUAGUUUUCUUAAAUUGAAUAUAUGGAAUGUGGCUGUGACUCAAUCUUUCAUUAUUAUUAGAAUAAAAAGUACAGGGGGCGAAAGUUUGAGCUUUGGGACAGAACCACAUUUAGGUGAUGGAAGGAAGAAGAGAGAAAAAGCAAAUAGAGAGGAGGUGGUUAGGUGGGUUGAUACACUGCUAUGGAUAUCCAGGGCAAAGAAGAUUGUAAGAAGGAAGGAGUUGGUCAACAGUGCCAAAUGCCAGACUGGACGGGAUGACUAAGAAGUGAGGCAAGGCCAUUUAAUUCGAUUUGGUCAUCUGGAUGUAUUUGAAGACCUUGGAGACUGAGUGUAUUUUCAGUAAAGGUGAUAGACUGGAGGCAAGUGAAAAGGUGAAUGAAAAAAUAGAAGCAGUAAGUGCCUUGAGACGUUUGUUUUGAAAAAGUUCUCAGAGAGAAUUUAGCAUAUCUUAAAGAGGUGGCAUUUUUUGAGGGAAUUUUUCUUUAGCUUAGGACAAAUGUAUGUAUUUUUAUGAGCAAAAGUUAAGGCUUUAGGUAAGAAGGAGACUCUCAGGAUGCUGGAGAAAAAGGGAUAAUUGAUUAGUAAAUUUAAGUCAGGUUUAAAGCCUGAGAAUAUGGGAUCAGGAUCACAGGGAGAAAAAAUAUUAAUCAUUUGUAUUGGUUGUAUUUUUUUAACUUUUAAUUUCUUACUUGUCCUUUUAAAUAUUUUCCAGGUUUUCUGUAACAAGCAUCUUUACUUUAAAUUUUUAAUGGCUUUAAAAAUUAAACAAAUUUAAAAUGAGAAAGUAACAAAUUAACAAAUAGAAAUACAUAAUAUGAAUGAAUGAAUAAAAAAUAAAUAUGACAAAUGAAUGACAAAUUGAUAAAAUAAUAAAAAUGAUAAUGUUCACAGCACCAAAAAGGUGUAGAAAUAUAUAAGAUGAAUAUUAAAAUUCCCUACAUAUGCCAUUUUCAUUUCUUUAAAGCAACCAUCAUCAAAAUGGUUUUUCCUGGUAGCCUUUUAGUUUUACACAUCUAUGUUUUCAAAUCAGAAGACAUUAUCAAAAAUCACCAGUAAAGAAUUUAAACUGAAGACUUAUAAUACCACCGGGGUUCUGGUUUCCUGGCCCAUUUUGAAAGACUAAUACAUGAUAGGAGAAGUAUAUAAAUAGGAAUAAAUUUAUAAGAAUGAAGAAAAUGGAAGAGGAGACAACAGCAGACAAAAGACAUCAACAAAAUUUUAGGAGAUGAAAAGCAGAUGGCCCUGUUAUGUCUGACAACAUGUAAAGUAUAGAAAUUGAAAACUUGUGUUUGCAACAGGGUAAGCCAGCAAGAAGGAAGCCAGUUUAUGUUUCAGAAUUCCCAAAAGACUCAGCAAUUAGAAGUGAGUGCGGAUGACACUAAAAACAGGAAGACUGAUUGGACGUGUUCCAGAUCUCCCCUUACCCAUAGACAGAGAGUUGUCCUUGUCCAUCUGUUAGAAGACUAGAGAUACUAUGGACUUGGGACAUCAGCUGAAAACAGGGGAAUUAGAGAGGUUGUGUUCUGAAAGGUGAGACCUCAGCCCCCUCUUUUCAUUUAGCUCCAGAAUGUUAUCAACUGGGCUUAUACCUUAUCAAGAACUUGGAUGUUUCUUCAAUGGGAAAACUGGCUAGUUCAAAAGAAGAGGAUGUGGAUACUGACAUUUGGGCAUCCUCCCAUGAAAUGGCUGGGUCCCUAUUGGAUUACACUCUGAUGAGACCCAACAGUUGGUAAUCACUACCUAAGCAUAGAGCUGUCAUUCAUCUAUUUAGUACCUCAUUCUUAAAUAUAAACAGACAACCAUAGAUUUGUAAAUAUUUUUAGAAAGCCUCUAACAUGAAAGACAGACCAAACUAAACCAAUAGGAAAAACACACAUGAAACAGAUGAUAAGGAAGCAGAAGAAUUUAUAGUAAAUGAUAUAGCUAUGAUUCUCACAAAGAAAAUAUAUUGUAUUCACAAAGAUUAGGAAGCUAUGAACAUAAAACUUUUUGAAGAUAAGACAGAACUUUUAAUAUUAAAAAUGUAGUAGUGGAAAUUAAAAAUUCAACAGGAGAAUAUGUAAAGUAAUGUUUAAGGAAUC